UCCUACGGGGGGCAGCAGUGGGGAAUAUUGCACAAUGGGCGAAAGCCUGAUGCAGCAACGCCGCGUGAAGGAAGAAGGGUUUCGGCUCGUAAACUUCUUUUCUCAGGGACGAAGCAAGUGACGGUACCUGAUGAAUAAGCCACGGCUAACUACGUGCCAGCAGCCGCGGUAAUACGUAGGUGGCAAGCGUUAUCCGGAUUUACUGGGUGUAAAGGGCGUGUAGGCGGGGGGGCAAGUCAGAUGUGAAAACUAUGGGCUCAACCCAUAGCCUGCCUUUGAAACUGUACUUCCUGAGUGCUGGAGAG
rnacentral:rRNA from 1 species